UGGGGAAUAUUGGACAAUGGGCGAAAGCCUGAUCCAGCCAUGCCGCGUGAGUGACGAAGGCCUUAGGGUUGUAAAACUCUUUCGUCGGGGACGAUAAUGACGGUACCCGAAGAAGAAGCUCCGGCUAACUUCGUGCCAGCAGCCGCGGUAAUACGAAGGGAGCUAGCGUUGUUCGGAAUCACUGGGCGUAAAGCGCACGUAGGCGGAUGUGCCAGUCAGGGGUGAAAUCCCGGAGCUCAACUCCGGAACUGCCUCUGAUACAGCACGUCUUGAGUUCGAGAGAGGUGGGUGGAAUUCCUAGUGUAGAGGUGAAAUUCGUAGAUAUUAGGAAGAACACCGGUGGCGAAGGCGGCCCACUGGCUCGAUACUGACGCUGAGGUGCGAAAGCGUGGGGAGCAAACAGGAUUAGAUACCCAAGUAGUCCCUGAGCGGGCUGGCAAGGCGCAU
rnacentral:rRNA from 1 species